AUUAUUGUAGUAUAAAAAUUAUAGUUAGUUUCCACCUAAAAGAUAGCUUCAAUAAUA
rnacentral:tRNA from 1 species